rnacentral:SRP_RNA from 1 species
GCCAGGUAUGGUGGUGCCUGCCUGUAGUCCCAGCUACUUGAGAGGCUGAGGUGGGAGAAUCGCUUGAGCUUGGGAGGUCUAGGCUGCAGCGAGCCAUGAUCACGCCACUGCACUCCAGCCCGAGCAACAGAGUGAGACUCUGUCUCAA